rnacentral:rRNA from 1 species
AGAGUUUGAUCCUGGCUCAGAUUGAACGCUGGCGGCAUGGUUAAAACAUGCAAGUCGAACGAGGUUCAUCCCUUCGGGGGUGAAUCUAGUGGCGAAAGGGCGAGUAAUGCUUUUCUCACGUACCCUGAGGUUCGGGAUAGUCCGGGGAAACUCGGUUUAAUACCGGAUAUGGUCACUUGUGAUCAAAGGCUUUGGUCGCCUUAGGAGUGGGAAAUGUCCUAUCAGGUAGUUGGUGGGGUAAAGGUCUACCAAGCCUAAGACGGGUAGCGGGUGUGAGAGCAUGACCCGCCGCAUCGGGACUGAGACACUGCCUGGACUCCUAUGGGAGGCUGCAGUAAUGAAUAUUCCGCAAUGCGCGAAAGCGUGACGGAGCAAUGCCGCGUGCAGGAUGAAGCCCCUAUGGGGUGUAAACUGCUGUCAGGGUCUAGCAAGUUUUGAGCAGACCCAAAGGAAGGGCCGGCUAACUUCGUGCCAGUAGUUGUGGUAAUACGAAGGGCCCGAGCGUUAAUCGGAAUCACUGGGCUUAAAGGGUGCGCAGGCGGGCCAGUAAGUACUUUGUGAAAUCCCUCGGUUUAACCGAGGAACUGCUCAGUAUACUGCUGGCCUUGAGCAUGGUAGGGGCGGUCGGAACGGUAGGUGGAGCGGUGAUAUGUGUAGAUAUCUACCGGAACGCCAAAGGUGAAGAUAGGCCGCUGGGCCAUUGCUGACGCUCAGGCACGAAAGCGUGGGGAGUGAAUGGGAUUAGAUAUCCCGGUAGUCCACGUCUUAAACGAUGUGCACUAGGUCCGGGAGGUUUUGAUGCCCUCCGGGCCGAAGGAAAAUUAUUAAGUGCACCGCCUGGGGAGUACGGUCGCAAGGCUAAAACUCAAAGGAAUUGACGGGGGCUCACACAAGCGGUGGAGCAUGUGGCUUAAUUCGAAACAAUGUGAAGAAUUUUAUCCUGGACUUGACAUGCACGGAUUAGCUUAGGGAAACUUAAGUGACGCCCGUAAGGGUGGAACGUGCACAGGUGCUGCAUGGCUGUCGUCAGCUCGUGCUGUGAAGUGUUGGGUUAAGUCCCUUAACGAGCGAAACCCUUGUCGCUAGUUGCCAGCGGGUAAUGCCGGGGACUCUAGCGAGACUGCCGGUGUUAAACCGGAGGAAGGUGGGGAUGACGUCAAGUCCUCAUGGCCCUUAUGUCCAGGGCUGCACACGUGCUACAAUGGCGCGCACAAAGCGAAGCGAUACCGUGAGGUGGAGCAAAUCGCAAAAAAACGCGCCCCAGUUUAGAUUGCAGUCUGUAAUUCGACUGCAUGAAGGUGGAAUCGCUAGUAAUCGCACAUCAGUUAUGCUGCGGUGAAUACGUUCCUGAGCCUUGUACACACCGCCCGUCAAGUCAUGGGAGCCGGGAGCACCCGAAGUCGCCACGAUUUAGUGGUGCCUACGGUGAGUUCGGUAACUGGGACUAAGUCGUAACAAGGUA